AUUGGAUGCAACCGGAUUGAAGUUAACUCUGAUAACUCUGAGGUUAUAAUUACAAUGCAAGAAGGAUCUUCUUCUGCGGUGGCAAGUGCAGUCUUUGAUGACUGUCAAUUCAUGGCGCUAGAUUUUUCGCAUGUAAUCUAUGAGCACUGUAACAGAGAAGAGAAUCAAGUAGCACAUGGACUGGCUAAGUUAGCCAGAUUAGCCCCUCCUAGAGUCUGGAUGGAUGAUGCCCCUAAUGGGAUUAUCCCUUUUAUUGUAAAUGAUGGCACCAUUCUUAUAAGUGAAUAA
rnacentral:rRNA from 1 species